AAAAAUUAAAAAAUCCAUCAGAUUUCUCAUUCUCUCUCUCUAAAAAUCCUUCUCCUCUCUCACUUUCUUUCUCUCCCAAAAACUACCGCCUCAUCUGCUUCAUUUUUGGGCAGCGAAACUCGCCGGAUUCCAGCGACCACCAACAACUUCAUCCUAACUCACCAGCCGUACCCCAUUCCCACUCUCUCAUCUCCCUUUCUCUCCCUCACACUCCCCUCCGCCGCCCGCUUUGACCAAACCACCAUGACGUCGCUGAUCCUUUGCCCUUUCGCCUUUCCGCUUAUUUUUCGCCGGAUGUGGUGACCGAUGAAACCUCCGGCAAAACGAUAAAAACUGGAGCACAACAAAACCUUUUUCCCUCUAUUUUUUUCUUCUCUUUUAUAUCAUCAUUGUUCAGAUUUAUUUUUGAAGAUUUUCUGUAUUUUUUUUCAUGAUUAUGGUUGGUUGAUUAUUUUUCUUAUAUUUUAUUUUGUUAAGUUUUUAAUAUUUUUAGUUUUUAUUUUAAUUUUAAACUGAUUUCACACGUAUUAUUUGAUUUUCCUAUAACUUAACUAUUGCUUUGCCUUCAAUUUUCUCGUUCCUUACUUUUAUGCUACUGUUAUAUUUGUGUGGAAUAGUUGCUGCUAUUAUUU
rnacentral:lncRNA from 1 species